CUGCCACUAAACCGUCCGCCACUAUUGUCGCUAACAUAAUGCGAACCUUUCCAGUUUAGGGUCAGUUUGAAAGUGCGAGAACUGAGAUGCUCGAAUUUUCAGGAUUAGUUGAUGACAUUGUUCAUUGCACUGCACUUGAGCUUGUUCCUGCUGCUAUUGAUGCUGCCCUGCAGACCAAUGCUCACCAUUCUAUCUCCUCUGAAAUUCAAAAUGCCCUUCUGAAGGCUGGUGUACUGUGGUACCUUAUACCAUUGUUGCUCCAAUAUGAUUCGACGGCGGAGGAAUCAGAUAAGACAGAUGCACAUGGUGUUGGAACUAGCGUUCAAAUAGCAAAAAACAUACAUGCUGUAAAAGCAUCUCAUGCCUUGUCAAGGCUUUAGUGGUUUGGUUGACGAGGAGAUCCCGACACCCUACAAUCAGGCUGCAGCUGAUGCCUUAGAGCUUUACUAACCCCUAAACUUGCAAGCAUGCUGAAAAAUAAAUUUGCAAAAUGACCUCCUAUUCACAUUAAACUCAAACUUGGAGUCCCCUGAGAUAAUCUGGAAUUCCUCCACCUGAGUAGAACUUUUGAAAUUUGUGGAAGAGCAGCGUGCAAGCCUUAGUCAUCAUGGUUCGUAUGACCUUAAAGAUUCGCAUUCCUUUGUUUAUGAAGCAUUAUCUAAGGAGCUCUAUAUUGGCAACGUAUACUUGAGAGUCUAUAAUGAUCAACCAGAUUUUGAAAUUACUAAGCCUGAGGACUUCUGUCUUGCCCUUGUUGAUUUUAUAUCACAUCUAGUCCAUAAUGCACCCGCUGCAAGCAUGGAUACUCAUUUAAUAGUGAUGUAACCACUGAUGGAUCUGGGGAGCAGCAUCUGAUGAUUCUUCAGCAUCACUUGAUGGGAAAAGCUUGGAGAGGGAGGAUUUGGAACUAGUUAAAAAUCUUCAAUACGGUCUGCUAUCCCUUCAGCACUUGUUGACAAAGAAUUUGAAUUUAGCUUCAGUGGUCUCCACAAAGGAGUAGCUAUUCCCCUCUUUGAAUGCUUUUCUCUUCCUGUUUCUUCAUCAAGCAACAUUCCUCAGCUAUGUCUACUUGUUUUGUCACGGUUGACAACAUACGCACCUUGUGUGGACGCAAUGGUCGCAGAUAGCUCUGGUCUGCUUGUUUUAUUACAGUUGCUUUACUCAUCUCCCAGCUGCCGUGAAGGAGCUUUGCAUGUUCUCUAUGCCUUAGCAAGCACGCUGGAGCUAGCUUGGGCAGCUGCAAAGCAUGGAGGGGUGGUUUUCAUUCUUGAAGUUCUCUUGCCAAUACAAGAAGAGAUUCCGUUGCAGCAAAGAGUCGCAGCAGCUUCGCUAUUAGGGAAGCUUGUUGGCCAGACUAUGCAUGGGCCUAGAGUGGCGAUAAGUCUGGCAAGAUUUCUGCCUGAUUUCCUUGUCUCGGUAAUCAGGGAUGGUCC